rnacentral:rRNA from 1 species
AUUAUGGCUCAGGAUGAACGCUAGCUACAGGCUUAACACAUGCAAGUCGAGGGGCAGCAUUGGGAUAGCUUGCUAUCCAGAUGGCGACCGGCGCACGGGUGAGUAACGCGUAUCCAACCUUCCCUAUAGUAGAGAAUAGCCCGGCGAAAGUCGGAUUAAUGCUCUAUGUUGUGUUUUGAGGACAUCUGACGAACACCAAAGGUUCACCGCUAUAGGAUGGGGAUGCGUCUGAUUAGCUUGUUGGCGGGUAACGGCCCACCAAGGCGACGAUCAGUAGGGGUUCUGAGAGGAAGGUCCCCCACAUUGGUACUGAGACACGGACCAAACUCCUACGGGAGGCAGCAGUGAGGAAUAUUGGUCAAUGGGCGAGAGCCUGAACCAGCCAAGUAGCGUGCAAGGACGACUGCCCUAUGGGUUGUAAACUGCUUUUAUCAGGGAAUAAAGUGCGGCACGUGUGCCGUUUUGUAUGUACCUGAUGAAUAAGGACCGGCUAAUUCCGUGCCAGCAGCCGC